ACAGAAGGCGCUGCUCACCAGAAGGUGGUGACUGGUAAGAGGGAAUGUGGCUAGAGGAACUUCAAAGGAUUUGAAGAGUGCCCUGGUCAUCCUUCUGAUCAGAAACACAACUGAAUAAGAGCUCCCCUUGAGGGUGUCAGGGAGAGCCUGGUGGACUCACGGCAGGCCAGAAGGUGUCCAGACCCAUCACCACCACCGGCUUUACUAAGACAUCCUCCAGUAAGUAAGGGAGCCAGUCGAGUGGGUGAAGAACUCAGAUGACGCUCAAGGUGUUGGGGGCUAACAGUGUGGCCUAGUUGCCUCACCCUGGAGUCUCAGAAGUGCAGAGCCUGUUCUGUAGCUUUGACAUCCCUCAAAUGAGCACAUCAGGUAAGGCAAACGCACCCCACAGCUGGCAGAGACCUCACACCUCUGGGGGGAGCACAGCUGUCCCCACACCCUCCCAAGGACAAUUUGUACAGACUGUCCUGAGCUGGCACUGCUGCCAUCUAGUCAGACCUUCCUUGCUGCAUGUCCUGGCCCCGUGGGUACAGGUGAAACACAGUGAACUCCUGAAUUGUCCUGACCCUGAGGUGCCCUGGGGCAACUUCCUAGCAGGGUAGAAGAUUAGGCCUCUAGGGUGUCCCUGCUUCCUGCAGACUGCUAGGAUCUGGAGGAACAACCCUUGCAUUUGAUGUCAGAAGGUUUUAUUAUCAGUGAGUAAGAUGGAGUCAAAGAUGCCUCCCUCCUCCUCUGACCGUAGAUUUCUUAGGGUGCUGCUAACCCCUUCACUGAA